rnacentral:rRNA from 1 species
UAGGGAAUCUUCCACAAUGGGCGAAAGCCUGAUGGAGCAACGCCGCGUGUGUGAUGAAGGGUUUCGGCUCGUAAAACACUGUUGUAAGAGAAGAAUGACAUUGAGAGUAACUGUUCAAUGUGUGACGGUAUCUUACCAGAAAGGAACGGCUAAAUACGUGCCGAG